rnacentral:rRNA from 1 species
UACGUAGGGUGCGAGCGUUAAUCGGAAUUACUGGGCGUAAAGCGUGCGCAGGCGGUCUGUUAAGACCGAUGUGAAAUCCCCGGGCUUAACCUGGGAACUGCAUUGGUGACUGGCAGGCUUUGAGUGUGGCAGAGGGAGGUAGAAUUCCACGUGUAGCAGUGAAAUGCGUAGAGAUGUGGAGGAAUACCGAUGGCGAAGGCAGCCUCCUGGGCCAACACUGACGCUCAUGCACGAAAGCGUGGGGAGCAAACGGG